GGGUUGUGAGGUUAAGCGACUAAGCGUACACGGUGGAUGCCCUGGCAGUCAGAGGCGAUGAAGGACGUGCUAAUCUGCGAUAAGCGUCGGUAAGGUGAUAUGAACCGUUAUAACCGGCGAUUUCCGAAUGGGGAAACCCAGUGUGAUUCGUCACACUAUCAUUAACUGAAUCCAUAGGUUAAUGAGGCGAACCGGGGGAAUUGAAACAUCUAAGUACCCCGAGGAAAAGAAAUCAACCGAGAUUCCCCCAGUAGCGGCGAGCGAACGGGGAGCAGCCCAGAGCCUGAAUCAGUGUGUGUGUUAGUGGAAGCGUCUGGAAAGGCGCGCGAUACAGGGUGACAGCCCCGUACACAAAAAUGCACAUGCUGUGAGCUCGAUGAGUAGGGCGGGACACGUGGUAUCCUGUCUGAAUAUGGGGGGACCAUCCUCCAAGGCUAAAUACUCCUGACUGACCGAUAGUGAACCAGUACCGUGAGGGAAAGGCGAAAAGAACCCCGGCGAGGGGAGUGAAAAAGAACCUGAAACCGUGUACGUACAAGCAGUGGGAGCACAGAGCAAUC
rnacentral:rRNA from 1 species